ACACCAGACUCCUACGGGAGGCAGCAGUGAGGAAUAUUGGUCAAUGGCCGGAAGGCUGAACUAGCCAAGUCGCGUGAGGGACGACUGCCCUAUGGGUUGUAAACCUCUUUUAUAAGGGAAGAAUAAAUGCUACGUGUAGCAUGAUGCCUGUACCUUAUGAAUAAGCAUCGGCUAACUCCGUGCCAGCAGCCGCGGUAAUACGGAGGAUGCGAGCGUUAUCCGGAUUUAUUGGGUUUAAAGGGUGCGUAGGCGGACGCUUAAGUCAGCGGUAAAAUUGCGGGGCUCAACCUCGUCGAGCCGUUGAAACUGGGUGCCUUGAGUGGGCGAGAAGUACGCGGAAUGCGUGGUGUAGCGGUGAAAUGCAUAGAUAUCACGCAGAACUCCGAUUGCGAAGGCAGCAUACCGGCGCUCAACUGACGCUCAUGCACGAAAGUGUGGGUAUCGAACAGGAUUAGAUACCCCUGUAA
rnacentral:rRNA from 1 species